rnacentral:rRNA from 1 species
AUUGAACGCUGGCGGCAGGCCUAACACAUGCAAGUCGAACGAGUGGCGGACGGGUGAGUAAUGUCUGGGAAACUGCCCGAUGGAGGGGGAUAACUACUGGAAACGGUAGCUAAUACCGCAUACCAUCGGAUGUGCCCAGAUGGGAUUAGCUAGUAGGUGGGGUAACGGCUCAACUAGGCGACGAUCCCUAGCUGGUCUGAGAGGAUGACCAGCCACACGGGAACUGAGCCACGGUCCAGACUCCUACGUGAGGCAGCAGUGGGGAAUAUUGCACAAUGGGCGCAAGCCUGAUGCAGCCAUGCCGCGUGGAUGAAGAAGGCCUUCGGGGUGUAAAGUACUUUCAGCGAGGAGGCGUUACGCGCAGAAGAAGCACCGGCUAACUCCGUGCCAGCAGCCGCGGUAAUAC